GUGGGGAAUAUUGGACAAUGGGCGCAAGCCUGAUCCAGCCAUGCCGCGUGAGUGAUGAAGGCCCUAGGGUUGUAAAGCUCUUUCACCGAUGAAGAUAAUGACGGUAGUCGGAGAAGAAGCCCCGGCUAACUUCGUGCCAGCAGCCGCGGUAAUACGAAGGGGGCUAGCGUUGUUCGGAAUUACUGGGCGUAAAGCGCACGUAGGCGGAUAUUUAAGUCAGGGGUGAAAUCCCAGAGCUCAACUCUGGAACUGCCUUUGAUACUGGGUAUCUCGAGUAUGGAAGAGGUGAGUGGAAUUCCGAGUGUAGAGGUGAAAUUCGUAGAUAUUCGGAGGAACACCAGUGGCGAAGGCGGCUCACUGGUCCAUUACUGACGCUGAGGUGCGAAAGCGUGGGGAGCAAACAGGAUUAGAAACCCUAGUAGUCC
rnacentral:rRNA from 1 species